GGCCAGAGGGGCAAGGGCUGGCAGCAGUGCAGGGGACCUGGUCCUGGAUUCACAGGGUCAAUCUCAGGUUCGUCAGCCCAUGAGAUGCCUCCUCCAGAGCAGGACGGGCAGCACCGACCCCCACCAGUCUCACAGCUGCCACCUCCACCCAGCACAUGGAGAAGCACGGCAGGGAGACGCCAGAGCUUCAUCUGCACCCUGGCACGGCUGUUUGUGAGGCUGGGUAAGGACUAAAGUGGGUGUCAGCCCCAAGGAGCAAAGGGAGGAAAGCGGUCGGCAAAUCCUGUCUGCUCCUCAGGAGAAGCUGCUGGAAGCUCGGCCACACCUUAGUGCUGAAGUUGCCACGGCCGGCGGUGCAGCAGCUGCCGCGUGUGAGCUGCUGCUCAUGUGACAGGAGGCUCUGAGCAUCAAAAGCACCUAAUUAGGAACCUCGCCGACUCCCUCCCGGAUCUGCGCCUCUGUGUGCAGCGAGCGCAGCCCAGGGGUGAGUUUGGCAUCCCUGAAAGCAUCAUUAACACUUCGCUCCUCACAUUCCUGACUAGAGGAGGAGAGAGUGACAGCCCUGAAAGUGAUGAUAAUGAAUCCCCAGGCAGUGCACAGGGCCCAUCAGCGCUGGAUUUGUCAGUAAUUUAUGAAGGGAGCAGGAAAAAAAAAAGUAUUUCUGAUUUUUCAAGUUGAGCUUCCUAAAUAAAACACAAGUCCAAGAUA